UACGAAGGGGGCUAGCGUUGCUCGGAAUCACUGGGCGUAAAGCGCACGUAGGCGGCUUUUUAAGUCAGGGGUGAAAUCCUGGAGCUCAACUCCAGAACUGCCUUUGAUACUGAGAAGCUUGAGUCCGGGAGAGGUGAGUGGAACUGCGAGUGUAGAGGUGAAAUUCGUAGAUAUUCGCAAGAACACCAGUGGCGAAGGCGGCUCACUGGCCCGGUACUGACGCUGAGGUGCGAAAGCCAGGGGAGCAAACGGG
rnacentral:rRNA from 1 species